GACCGGCCACACUGGGAUUGAGACACGGCCCAGACUCGUACGGGAGGCAGCAGUGGGGAAUAUUGCACAAUGGGCGAAAGCCUGAUGCAGCGACGCCGCGUGAGGGAUGACGGCCUUCGGGUUGUAAACCUCUUUCAGCAGGGAAGAAGCGAAAGUGACGGUACCUGCAGAAGAAGCGCCGGCUAACUACGUGCCAGCAGCCGCGGUAAUACGUAGGGCGCGAGCGUUGUCCGGAAUUAUUGGGCGUAAAGAGCUCGUAGGCGGUUUGUCGCGUCGGUUGUGAAAUCCCGGGGCUCAACCUCGGGUCUGCAGUGGAUACGGGCAGGCUAGAGUUCGGUAGGGGAGAUCGGAAUUCCUGGUGUAGCGGUGAAAUGCGCAGAUAUCAGGAGGAACACCGGUGGCGAAGGCAGAUCUCU
rnacentral:rRNA from 1 species